GAUGAACGCUGGCGGCGUGCUUAACACAUGCAAGUCGAACGAAGCACUUAAACCUGAUUCUUCGGAUGAAGGUUUUUGUGACUGAGUGGCGGAUGGGUGAGUAACGCGUGGGUAACCUGCCUAAGAAAGGGGGAUAACAGUUAGAAAUGACAGCUAAUACCGCAUAAGAACACAGAGCCGAAUGGCUCAGUGGGAAAAACUCCGGUUGUAUGAGAUGGACCCGCGUCUGAUUAGGUAGUUGGUGGGGUAACGGCCUACCAAGCCAACGAUCAGUAGACGACCUGAGAGGGUGACCGGCCACAUUGGGACUGAGACACGGCCCAAACUCCUACGGGAGGCAGCAGUGGGGAAUAUUGCACAAUGGGGGAAACCCUGAUGCAGCGACGCCGCGUGAGCGAAGAAGUAUUUCGGUAUGUAAAGCUCUAUCAGCAGGGAAGAAAAUGACGGUACCUGACUAAGAAGCACCGGCUAAAUACGUGCCAGCAGCCGCAGUAACAC
rnacentral:rRNA from 1 species